UACGUAGGGUGCAAGCGUUGUCCGGAUUUAUUGGGCGUAAAGAGCUCGUAGGCGGUCUGUCGCGUCGGAUGUGAAAACCCAGGGCUCAACCCUGGGCCUGCAUUCGAUACGGGCAGACUAGAGUGUGGCAGGGGAGACUGGAAUUCCUGGUGUAGCGGUGAAAUGCGCAGAUAUCAGGAGGAACACCGGUGGCGAAGGCGGGUCUCUGGGCCAAUACUGACGCUGAGGCGCGAAAGCGUGGGGAGCAAACAGG
rnacentral:rRNA from 1 species